rnacentral:ncRNA from 1 species
UGUGGGAUCGACACUCGAGCGACCUUCAACAAAAGGGUAGUUUUACCCGAAACUAACAUAGGUGGGUAGGUAGAGAAUACCUAGGGGCACAAGACAACUCUCUCUAAGUAACUCGGCAAAAUAUCCCUGUAACUUCGAGAGGUGCCUCCUCAAAAAGGGGGUUGCAAUGACCAGGCCUGGGCAACUGUUUACCAAAACCACAAGUACAAAGAACUUAACUCUCCGCAAAGUUGUAAGACCAUGUAUGGGGUUGAUGCCUGCCUAGUGCCGAAAGGUCAAGGAAGUUGGUGAAUUGGUGACAGGGGAGCCGACAACCAAAGCCCCGGUGGACAGCGACCGUAACUAUAACUGUCCUAAGGUAGUGAAAUUCCUUGUUGGGUAAGUUUCGACUCGCACGAAAGGUGUAACGAUCUCUAACUACAAGUUUUG